rnacentral:rRNA from 1 species
UACGUAGGGGGCAAGCGCUAUCCGGACUUAUUGGGUUUAAAGGGUGCGUAGGUGGCUUUUUAUGUCAUGGGUGAAAGCCCGCAGCUCAACUGCGGAAUUGCCUGUGAUACUGAGGAGCUUGAGUGCGGUUGAGGCAGCUGGAAUUGGUGGUGUAUCGGUGAAAGGCAUAGAUACCACCAGGAACCCCGAUUGCGAAGGCAGGUUGCUAAGCCGUAACUGACACUGAGGCAAGACAUCGUGGAGAGAAAACAGG